rnacentral:rRNA from 1 species
AUUGAACGCUGGCGGCAGGCCUAACACAUGCAAGUCGAACGGUAGCACAGAGAGCUUGCUCUCGGGUGACGAGUGGCGGACGGGUGAGUAACGUCUGGGAAACUGCCCGAUGGAGGGGGAUAACUACUGGAAACGGUAGCUAAUACCGCAUAACGUCGCAAGACCAAAGUGGGGGACCUUCGGGCCUCACACCAUCGGAUGUGCCCAGAUGGGAUUAGCUAGUAGGUGGGGUAAUGGCUCACCUAGGCGACGAUCCCUAGCUGGUCUGAGAGGAUGACCAGCCACAAUGGAACUGAGACACGGUCCAGACUCCUACGGGAGGCAGCAGUGGGGAAUAUUGCACAAUGGGCGCAAGCCUGAUGCAGCCAUGCCGCGUGUACGAAGAAGGCCUUCGGGUUGUAAAGUACUUUCAGCGGGGAGGAAGGCGGUGAAGUUAAUAACUUCACCGAUUGACGUUACCCGCAGAAGAAGCACCGGCUAACUCCGUGCCAGCAGCCGCCGUAA